rnacentral:lncRNA from 9 species
CCCAAACUGUCUCCUCUGGAGACCAUAAGUUUUUCAAUGUCUGUGAGUCAGCAUCUGUUCUGCAAAGAAGUUCAGUCUUUAGAAAGGUUAAUAAGGAGACAACCACUAAUAAGAACGAGCCUCAGGAUUUUGGAUGCUCUCGAGGCCAGAAUCCUGGGCCUGCUGGAGCUAAUACCAGCGUGCCUUUGAUAUUUUCAGAUGGGGAGAAAAAGAGAUCUUUUUUAGCAUCAGAUAUAAGAAAGAUGCCUUUUCAGCAUCAGAUGUAGAGAAGACACUGAGACGGGACUGGCUUCCCCAGGCUGCCCUUCCCACCCCCUCCCCCCAGCUUGCACCCCCAUCCCCCCCAGCCUGCUCCCUCCUCCCCACCAGGCUGCCUCUCCAUCCGCCCCCAGUCUGCACCUCCCCUCCCAGAGCUAUUCUCCGGAAAGCAGAGCUGGCCUCAGGCAGGAUCAGGGGUCACAGCCACACCUGCAGGACUGAGCAGGUGAAAACAAGUCAGGCUGUGAAAGAAAUCCCCCUUUUCUAAACUUUGCCUUGGAGUCCAUGACCUGAUGGGACAGGACUCAGACCUGGGGCAGGGAGGUCUGGGUUUUCCUCCAACCCUGUCACCUUUGUGAAGCUGAUUCUUUUCUGUGCCUCAGUGGCCUUGUCCGCAAUGCAGACUAAACCCCCUUUCACAGUCACCUUCCAGAACCCGAGUACACGUCACAAGCUCCCAGGCAUCCACAGGGGCACUGCACUUCACAGUUGAUGGAAAUGCUUCUCCUCCCUCAUCUCUGAGGAAAUGAAGGUCUGAUGGGAUUGAAAGCCAUCUACAGGUGGCCUUGCCACUUCUAAAUGAAAAAGGCGAAAAGUGGGAAGUUGCAUUCAGCGUGUGUUUUGCACGAAUGGUUGUAGAGGCAGCAAGAUGGGCCCGGCCAACUUCUUUCCUGGAACCACUCAGCAUCUCAGCAUCUCCACAUCUCAGCACCUCCGAAUCUCAGCAUCCAGCUCGAGCUGUGAACCACAUCUGUGGUGCAUCUGUGCUUUAUCUGGUUUAUUUCAUGGACCUAAGAGGAAACCGAAAGGUCACAGAUGGAGGGAGCACACCGUCCCGGGUGACACAGACACAUCCAGUGACCUGAAGUAACUUGGGCAAUGCAGUAACUCGGAAGCCGUUUCCACACCUGGAGGGGAAAUGAAAAUAAUCAUCCGCAGAGCUGUUCAGUCUGAUCACUGGUUCCAUGAGACUUAGACUGGAAAAGUCAACUGACCACACAAAAAGUCAUUUGCACUGGGGGAAAGGACCCGUGCCUUUUGGAUAGUCACUAGAAAUCGCCUCAGUUGGCUGCAUCUACAACAACACUGAUCCUUUAACCCACUGUGUGGGGCUGGGGAACAACCUGUGUCCUGGUGCUGCUGAGACGCCACCAAUCCCGUUGGGCUACAGCAGAACGCCUGGAGAGGAUAUUUUAAUAUAUUGAAUCAUUGAGAAAUGAUAAAAGGAGAAGUCCAUACACAUUCAUGAUUUUCCUUUUUUUAAAAAAUUUUUUGAGAAUGAUAACAUCCCCUGAGGAGCCCUCUUGAAGGAAGAGAACAGAAACGUCAGCAUCCUGGGUUGUUCUCAUGCCCACAGACACUUUCCGUGGGGGAGCAGUGACCCCAAGCGUGGCCCAGGGUCCUCAAGACCCUCUCCAAAAGGGUUCCUAGGGUCAAAACUAUUUUCAUAAUACCAGAGAUUUGUUCCUUUUUCAGUCUCCUGCUCUCCUGAUUGUACAGGGGAAUUUUCUAGAAGCUGAUAGUGCAGACUGAUUGAGCAGACUGACUACAGACUGAUGGUGCAGACUGACGGUGGAGACUAACUGCAAACUGAGUGCAGACUGAUGGUGCAGACUGAUUGCAGAAACAGCUAUGAACAUUCACCUGUAUUGUUAGCCAGACAUUACAGCAAUUUGCAGAAAUGGAAGCAAUGUUACUCUCCUGCCUAGGUUUUUUGGUUUUGUUUUGGAAACCAUAGUUACAUUUUCACAAAAAUGUGUGACUGGCAUGACCAGGUGACAAAACUAAUUACACUCAACACAUGUUCAUUCCGGGACCUGCUCUAGGUGCUAGGAAACAUCAGAGAGGACGUCACACAUACAGAUCCAUGGGGCUCAAACUGUGUGAGGUGACGUGGACCCCACGGAAACUCACUGAGAGGCUGCAGGAAGGUUUAACUUUUCAAGGGAAGCACAGUGAUGCUUGGCCCCUGUGGGAUAACAUGGUUUGACGGUCUCUCCAUUAGACUGUGCAGCACUUACUGAAGAUGUCAUCUCUCUCUGAAAUCGCAUUUCUGGAAGUUGUUGGGAUUAAAACGACUCCAGUUUUGUUCAGGAAAUCGAGACGUCUCAUGCUUCCAGAGCUCUUCUCCAACCCCAAAGAUUGGCCAAUCCAGAGGUUCUUAACUUGAGUGGCCCAGCGCAGUGCCUCAGGGGACUUUUAAACAUCAGGAUGCGGAGAACAUGUUGGACCAGGGAAAUCAGUCACUGGGGAUGAGACUCAGCCAGCAUCAGUAUUUUGUAAAGCUCCCCAGGCUUAUGACAUGCCUGAAGCUUUACUAGCUUCUCUGCUUCCCAGCAGCUACCCACCGACCAGCUCCUCACACUCUUGCUAUGAGCCAUGAAUCAAAACAUAUUUUGAGGAGAAAAGCAACCCAGAAAGGCCCUGUUGGAUACCCCACCUCCUCCUCUGAGAAUAUCAGGUGAACAUUCUCUCAUUCAUUUUGCCACUUUGUUUAUAUCCAAAUAUCUGGAUAUUAACGGACAAAUGCAGGAGCCAGUUGGGUCCCCAGAACUUCGAAAUUAACCUUUCUGAGCAAAGGAAAAAGCUCUUCCCGUCCUCUCAGGGUGAGUGACUGAUUGGGCAGCUUGCUUCAACGUUCGGACACACCCAGAAAAUUGUUCCAGACUGUGGAUCAGAGGCCUCUAAGUGUGUCAAACUCACUUGCCUCUAGGUAGCUGGGCUGCUGUUCCCGGUCCAGCUGUAUAACCAUAUAAUAUGUCACCCAUCUCCAGACAGUUUUUUUAGUAAAAAGAGUUGUUUUUGAUGAGCAUGCUGUGACCAAAGACUCAACCUAGGACAACGCCUGGGGAACCAGGACCCACCGCCUAAGUCUGCCUGGGUAACUUCUGGGGCCGCCAAUGGCUGGUGACACCCCCCUGCCCACCUGCAGCUGUCCUUAGGGCUGGCCUGUGGUAAAAAUGACAGGCGAAGAUCUUAAGAAAGUACAGUUUUUAUGAGACCAACUGUUUUGUGAAUGCUCUCAACAACAGAGCCCCAUGUCUGCAGAUCUUCCAGAGGGCUAACGAAAGCCAAGUUUGAGGAAGCGUGGCUCUCACUCUGAGGGAAAAUGUGAAAAAAAGAUUAUAGAAAUCAGGAGUUCCCACUGUGUAAUGAAUCUGACUAGUACCCAUGAGGAUGCAGGUUCAAUCCCUGUCCUUGCUCAGUGGGUUAAGGAUCCGGCGUUGCCGCGAGCUGUGGUGUAGGUCACAGACGCGGCUUGGGUCCCACGUGGCUGUGGCUGUGGUGUAGGCCGGCAGCUGCAGCUCUGAUUCAACCCCUAACUUGGGAACCUCCAUAUGCCGUGGGUGUGGCCCUAAAAAGAAAAGAAAAGAUUACAAAAAUCAGAUGACACAAUGAAAAGAAGCGGAGGAGGUGGACUGUGCGUGGACCUGCAUAGAAACAGCAAUUUUGCAGAAGCACCUCUGAGUGGAGUUCUAGGGACAGACCGAAUAGGCUUUGUGGAGACACACCCUGUCACUCCUACGAAGUCCUGCAGGUAACUGGCUCCCAUGACCAGCAUGAUGGGAAAAGAACAAGGGCCUUUCUAUGCUACAGCCACACAAAGAUGCUGCAAAAGAAGGGAAAGAAAAGGCAGCACAGAUUACCAACAGAGGAAGGGAAUUCUCCAGAAAAGCAUUGCCUUGCAAGAGAUGAAAAAUUGUAGGAAGUGAAAUCUUCAUUCGUUUAAAAUAAAUGCUAUUUUAAGAGGUGUACAAUGAAGCCUAAAGGCAAGAACUCAGAAUGUAGAAACGGAGGAUGUUAAUCACAGGUGGGCAGAGGGCAGGACAGAAAGAUGAGGAUGGCAUUGGAUAGAGUCCAAAGGCAAAUGAACACUAACAAGAAAAAUGAGGUGACCUGAAGAGUAGAAGCGAGAAAAGUCAAAAGAAAAUGGGAAAAAAGUGUUAAACUUAUCACAGGACACAGGUAUGCAAGAAACUAGCCCAAAUAAUGUUGAGCAUAGUAUGUUGACUCUGUACCUCAGAUUGAAGAUAAAAAUGCUGUACCCAUGCUGAAUUCUAACUAGGAGCUUUGUUGGUCCUGGUCAUUUGGGCUACUCAUUUGGCAACCACUUCUGAGUAUUUUUGGAUAGAGAAGUAAUUGCCUUAAGAACAAGCACCUGUAACUUUCUCCUCUUCUGAUGGAGAGCUGAGUUACCAAGUAUGGCGAGGGCGGAGAUUAAGAACUUGUGUGCAGGGGAAUUGGGACAUCUGUGUAAUGACUGCAUGUGAGCGUGCAUGCACACACACACAAACACAUGCAUGUGCACACGCACUCGUGACUCCAGCCACAGAGUCCUCGGGUCUCCUGGGUGAAGGGGCCCUGGAGCAGUCUGCCUCGGCACCUGUGACAACUCACAUCUUGAGCUCUGCAAACCAUUCUAAUAAAUUGGCUUGAAACAAUGGUUUCCUUGGCGACACAGUUGCGUCCAGGGCUGUGUCAAGGGACGUAUAAGGUGAGGGCUAGAAUGGGAUGGAAGAAAGUGACCAGAGAAUGGAGCCCCGUGCUGACGAAGACGUUGCACGAGCCAACUGAUGAAGAUGUUCCACUGGUCAUUUCAGGUACAAUUUGAGCAUCGAAAUACAUAAGGAUAGAAAGACGUAGUUAUCCAUUGAAUGAACUGAGAAUUGCUCAUUCCCUGAGUGAACGGGAAGGAAACACUCCUCCUUGCUGAAGAAAACCAACAAAGAAACGUGGAAGGGAAGGCAAGGUUAGGAAGUCCUUGUCUGACAGCUGUUGACUGAGGCCAAAACCAGGGGUAGAAAGUUGGAGCCACGAAACAUCUUGUUUCCAAGGGUCCAAGAUACUUCUUAACAGAAAGGACCACAGAGGAGCUUUGCACCUGAGAAACCUUGCAGACGCCACAUUCCCCAAAGGACGGAAGUUACCUUCACCCCCAAACGAGGUCAAGUCACCCUUGCUAUGGUUCGUAAGACGAUCACAGCGUCACUUCCGAGGGUCUUCUGCCCCAGAUACGUGACCUGCAACAAAUCACGACAAAAUAUCUAAGUACCCACACUGAGUGACAUUCUCAAAACAAUGGCUCAAAGUUUUUAAAGAAAGUGAAAUGUAAAAACAUGCUUCUGAUUAAAGGAGACUCAAGUGAUCAUGAUUAAUAUAAUACGUGUCCUUUUGUGAAACCCUGGCCUGGGCUGGGCAGGGGUCCUUUAUGAUAGACAUUAUUGGGACAAUUAAUGACAUUUUGAACAGAGACUGCGAAUUCCAUAACAGUAUUGUAUCAUAUUCAGUUUCCUGGAUUUGAACAUUCUUCUGUCGUUUCAUAAGAGUAUCCUUGUUUUUCGGGAAUAUACUGAUAUAUUUAGGGUAAAAGUGUGCUGCCUGGGAACCUCCUUAUGCCAUAAGAGCGGCCCCAGAAAAGGCAAAAAGACAAAUAAAAUAAAAUAAAAUAAAUAAAUAAAUGGGGGGAGUUCCUGUCAUGGCUCAGCAGAAAUGAAUCUGACUGUUAUCUACCAGGAUGCGGGUUCAAUCCCUGGCCUUGCCCAGUGGGUUAAGGAUCCAGCAUUGUGGUGAGCUGUGGUGUAGGUCACAGAUGGGGCUUGGAUCCUGCAUUGUGGUGGCUGUGGUGUAGGCCGGUGGCUGUAGCUCCAAUUUGACCCCUAGCCUAGGAAUCUCCAUAUGCCACAGGUACGGCCCUAAAAAAAAAAAAAAAAAAAAAAAAAAAAAAAAAAAAA